AGAUUGAACGCUGGCGGCAUGCCUUACACAUGCAAGUCGAACGGCAGCACGGGGGCAACCCUGGUGGCGAGUGGCGAACGGGUGAGUAACAUAUCGGAACGUGCCCUGGAGUGGGGGGAUAACUAGUCGAAAGACUAGCUAAUACCGCAUACGAUCUACGGAUGAAAGUGGGGGAUCGCAAGACCUCAUGCUCGUGGAGCGGCCGAUAUCUGAUUAGCUAGUUGGUGGGGUAAAGGCCUACCAAGGCAUCGAUCAGUAGCUGGUCUGAGAGGACGACCAGCCACACUGGGACUGAGACACGGCCCAGGCUCCUACGGGAGGCAGCAGUGGGGAAUUUUGGACAAGUGGGCGCAAGCCUGAUCCAGCAAUGACCGCGUGAGUGAAGAAGGCCUUGGUUGUAAAGUCUUCUUUGUCGAGGUAAGUAACGGUUC
rnacentral:rRNA from 1 species